rnacentral:rRNA from 1 species
AUAAUAUAUAGAUAUAUAAUUAUAUAUAUAAUUGAUAAAUAAAAAGAUUAUAGUGUAUUAGUAAAUGGUUAAGAAAAUUUUAUUUUGUUUGUACUGAAAAGGAAUAAUUUUUAUAUUAUAUUAUAGUAGAAAUUAGAUUUUGUAUCUUUUGCAUAAUGGUUUAAUAAUAUUUACAUAUUUAUAUUUGUUUCUCGAAAUAAAUGGAUUUAUUUAUUUAAAAUUUAUAUUUAUAAUAAUGAUCAAUUAUUUAUAUAUAAAAUAGUUUGUUAACGUGGUAAAGUUAUUAAUUUAAAAAUAAAUGGUAGUGAAAUGCUAUUCGAUUUUUAAGAUAGCUAGUUUAUUAUUAUUACAUUUUAGUGUUAAUUGAAGUAAAUUAUUAAGAUAAUUAAUUUUAAUUUAAAUAUUGAGGGAUAAGCUUCUUAUAUUAAGGUAAGAUUAAGUAAAAUAAGAUUAUUUAAGUUGAGUUAAUAAUUUUUCUUAUAUUUAUUAUUUAUUUUUAUUUGUUUUAAUCUUAAUUUAUAUUAAUAUAAUAAAUGAUUUAUAAUUUAUUUAAAUUUAAAUAUAAUGUUUGAAUGAGUAUUAUAUAUAGAUAUUUAUAUGUAUUUUAAUUAAAUGAUUGUUAGAAUUUUUAUAUUGUAUUUAUAUAUUUAUUGAUUAAUUAUUGUAAAGGAAUUUAGCAAAAAUUAAUUUCGCCUGUUUAUCAAAAACAUGUCUCUUUGAUAUAUAAUAAUAAGGAGUUGGGCCUGCUCGGUGAAUAUUUUUAACAGCUGCGGUAUUAUAACUGUACUAAGGUAGCAUAAUAAUUUGCCUUAUAAAUUAGGGCUAGAAUGAAUGGUUUGACGAAAAUUAUACUGUCUCUACUUUAAUUAUUAGAAAUUAAUUUUUAUAGUGAAAAAGCUUGAAUAAUUUAAAGGGACGAGAAGACCCUAUUGAGCUUUAUAUUAAAAUAUAAAUAAUUAUAAAAAUGUUAUUUAUUUUUUAUUUUUGGUUGGGGUGAUCAAGGAAUAAAUUUUUAGUAAAUAUAAUUUCCUUAUUAAUAUUAUUUGUUAGGAUAAUAAACCAAAAGUUUUGCUUAGAUGAUAAGUUACCAUAGGGAUAACAGCGUAAUUUUUUUAGAGAGUUCAUAUUAAAAAAAAAGAUUGCGACCUCGAUGUUGGAUUAAAAUAACCAUUAGGUGUAGAAGCUUUAUUAGGUAAAUCUGUUCGAUUUUUAAAAUUUUACAUGAUCUGAGUUCAAACCGGUGAGAGCCAGGUUGGUUUUUAUCUUUUAAAUUUGAUUUUUAAUUUAAUUUAGUACGAAAGGAUUGAUUAUAAUUAAUAAGAUUAUUAAAUAAAAUAAAUUUAUAAAGUUGGCAGAAAU